rnacentral:hammerhead_ribozyme from 1 species
AUCCAGUUAACGAGUCCCAAACAGGACGAAACGCUCGUCCUGGAU